rnacentral:tRNA from 1 species
GGUAAAAUGGCCGAGCGGCCAGGCGGCAGGUUGUAAACUUGCCCAGGGGGUUCGACUCCUCUUUUAUCA